UACGUAGGGGGCAAGCGUUGUCCGGAUUUAUUGGGCGUAAAGCGCGUGUAGGCGGCGGUAGGUCGCUGUGAAAACUCGAGGCUCAACCUCGAGACGUCGGCGGAAACCAUCCUGCUAGAGUCCGGAAGAGGAGAGUGGAAUUCCUGGUGUAGCGGUGAAAUGCGCAGAUAUCAGGAAGAACACCCGUGGCGAAGGCGGCUCUCUGGGACGGUACUGACGCUGAGACGCGAAAGCGUGGGGAGCGAACAGGAUUAGAACCGUACCGUCGAGACCAAGACCAGUC
rnacentral:rRNA from 1 species